CGUCCUGCGCACACCCCACCGCCCAGCACGUGUGUACGAACACACCCACGCUCACGUAACCGUCACCGAGCUGCUCCCAUCCGUCUUUCUCUCGAACACACACACACACACACACGACUUCCUCUGCUUUAUCAGCGCCCGUAUACAGACACAAGCAGGCACGCUCGGGGUGGGCACCGGUACGGCCACUACCACAACCGUCUCUCGCUCUCCACGUGGGUAGGUGGCGCCUUCUGGAAGGGUGAUGGCGCUCUCCCCAACCGCCUACGUCUUGCCUGGCUGCAGCGCGCAGUGCCGGCAGUGCGUCAGUGCCAAGCCAGACUCCUUCGCCUUUGCCUCCGUUCAGAGCAUCUCUCUCUACCGAGUGAGCACCGCGAACGUGACCAUCCCAACGAGCGCGAGCAGCACCCCAGCGCAGGCGCAGCAGCAACACCAGUCGCUCGAAACGAUCGCCAUUACAGACUACCCGCUGGUGACCCUCUUCGGCCAUGGCGCCAACGCCGCCAUCGCGGCCUUCUCGUACAACGAUGACUACAUGGCAUGCCUGACGCCGCAGAACAAGCAGGUUCUUCUGUGGCGCUUGAAGGAUGCAGAGACGCUCACGGCGAAAAAGAUUACCAGCACCGCUCUGUCCGACGCCUUUAAGCGCGAGGGCAACCCGUCCACAAUGUGCCUCGCCGGCAGGCACCAUGUUCUCUGCGGCACGAACACAGGGCGGCUCAUCUCGCUCAACACGAAUCUCGACAACGCCGAGCCGCGCAGCGUCGCUAUUCCGCCAUCGCAGCAACGCGGGAACGCACAGCAGCCCCGCUCGCCAUUAUCACCGGGGAACGCGUACAGUGUCCCCGCUUUAGCCGGUCCGCUGAGCUCCCUCAAUCCCAGCGGCACGAGCAGCGCAGCGGCGGCCGCGGUGGAAUCGGUAGAGUGCAUUGUGGCGGCAACAGCGCGGCCAGAGGCAGUCGCGUGCGGUACCUCGGAUGGUACGCUGUGCCUGCUGACGCUGAACGCAAGCACGGGUCUGCUUGUGACGGCUUCGCUGUGUCCGUUCCCAGCAAAGGAGAAGAGCGACACAGUCCUCGACGUGAACCCGCUACCGGUCACCUCCCUCGCCUUCGAGCCAACCUCUGCGCAGUACCUCGCUGUCGGCUCGCAAGACGGCGCGCUGGCGCUCUGUGAUAUGAACAAGAAUUCCAUCGUGCAGAUAUUUGAGGUCAGCAAGCUGCCUGAGAAGCACAUAAGCUCCAUCGCCUGGAUCCCCGGUGAGGCAGGCGCCUUCUACACCGCCAGCACUGACAGUCCGGUGCUCCGCAAGUGGUCUGUCUCCAGCAAGUCGGUCGUCGGCAGCGUGAGCAUCAUGGUGAUGCAGCAGAUGCCACAGCAGCGGAGCUCAGGUGCACGCGGCGCAGCAGACGCGAGCGACUCCGCCGACGCGGAGCACAGCAGCAGCAGAAUCGGCAUACGCAGUGUGGCCUGCAUCGACCAGACACGCGUCGUUGUGGGGCUGACAAACGGAUCCGUGAAGGUCUACGACGUGACACAGCAGCGGCUGGAGUGCGACAUCGUGACGGGCCACACAGACGCAACGCUCAGUUGCAAGCUGUCGAAGCACGAUCGCGACCAGGCGGCGACGGGCGGUGUCGAUGGGAUGAUCCGUGUGUGGAACUUGCGCACGCUCAGCCAGCAGUACAGCAUCCCGGUGGGGCCCGUGAUGGUGCACUCUGUAGACUGGUCCCCGAAUGGCAAGCACCUCAUUGCCGCCCUCGGUAGCGGUGAGGUGGUCAUGUACUCCACGUCGACAAACCGCGAGUCGUGGCGCACGCCGGUCUUCUCGGAGCUUGUCUACCGCGUCUGCUGGGCCGCGGGUGACUCCAGCCUCAUCGCCGCCACCUCCCGCAGCGGCGUCGCCGUGCUCUCCUCGAAGGACGGGAAGGUGGUUCGGCGCUACCCCGCCACGCGCGGCGCCUUCUACGGUGUCGACAUCGAGCCCGCCAAGAGCAAGAUGAUAGCCGCCGGCUCGCACGAUCACCGCAUCUACGUGUACAACCUCUCCAGCAGCAGCGAGCACCCCGUGCACGUGCUGGCAGGUCACACGGACGCCGUCUGCGACGUUGCCUACAACCCAACAGCGCUGAACUACCUCCUUUCGGGCAGCUACGACGGCACGCUGCGCGUGUGGGACCUCUCGUCGAACGACGCGCACACUAUCUCUGUAUCGUCGCGUGCGCUGAAGGGCCACGCCGACCGCGUGCGCAGCGUGGCAUGGUGCAGCCUGGCGCCCUACUUGGUCAUCAGUGGCUCCGCGGAUGCGUCGAUCCGCCUAUGGGACAUCCGCAACGGCGUCGCCAUAACCACCGUGCGCGGCCACAACGCGGAUGUCGUCGCCAUCUCGAGUCACGUCGACCGUCCGCUCACGUUCUUGUCGGCCGCGCGUGAUAGCACGCUGGUGGCGUGGAGCGUGGCCCUGCUGCGGCAGGUGUACCUCGACGCCGCCCUGGGCACCCUUGAGAACUGCAUUGUGGCCGACCCGUCCUCGCUCAUGGGCGUGGCCGCGUCCAGCGUGACCGUCUCGCAGGUGGCCGGCGCAGCAGUGCAGCGGCUUGCCAAGGAACUCGCCGAGUGUGCGAGUAGGCCGGCGGAGCGGCUGCAGAAGCUGGUGAGCUUCUUUGAGUCCCCCAACGGGGCGGCGGAGGUGGCGGAGAUGGCGCUCUGCGCGGUGGACCCGGCAGCGUACCAGGUGGCGGUAGCAGAGGGGAAGACGGCCGCGACGGGGCUCGUUGUGCCGGCGCGGAGCCUGGCAGAGGCGGCGCGUGCUCAUGCCACGUACACCAACGAGCGCGCCCACAGCAAGUCCGUCAACGCUGCCGGGCCGUCGUAUAGGAAGCAGCGCCUGCUGGAGGCGGCCGACGAGCUGUUACGCGUGGGUCAGCUGGAGGCGCACUGCAACGUGCUCAUGGAGGCGGAGGAGUGGGACCGCGCGAUUGCGGCGAGCCCAGCCAUCUCACGUGCUUACUGGCGCAGUGUCUGCCAGAAGGCCGCAGAGGCAAUGGAGGCGGCCGGCGACGCGCGCGCCGUGGCCUACUACAUCAUCGGUGAGCAUGCCCACAAGGCUGCGCAACUGCUGACACGCCUGUCGCAGCGCCACUACGAUGCUGCCACAGUGGUGUGCCAGACGUGUCCGCAGGUCGCCGAUGACCCACAGCAGCAGCAGCAGCAAGCGAAUGAGCCACCGCACAACACCACCGUGGACGUGAACAGCAUGACGGCUGCGACGCAGCAGCUGCAGCGACAGCGUGCGGCAGUGCUGAAGCGCUACGCGAACCCGCAGCUCUUCGCGGCGGUCCUGCUCGCCUACGGCCACCAUGAUGAGGCCGUGAACGUCUUGCAGCACUGCGGCGAUGUCGUGCUUGCUCACCUCCUCGUCCACACAGUGCCGCUGCGCGAGCAGGCGAGCAUCGACACCGCCUUUCGGCUCUCGAUGCUGCAGAGCGCGCGCCAGCAGAGGUGGGACACAGCGCUCGCCUGUGCUACACGUCAGUCGAACCCGUACGAUGCCCUGGCCACGGUGCUCGCGCUUUUUCAAACGGCGCAGGGCAAGCAACUGGCCGGGAAGAGCACCGCGCCGUCGCUGACAUCUGGCAACCUAUCCACCUUGCAGGGCGUCAGCGAGCGCCUCAAGACUUUUUACGAGCAGGUGCGGGGGGAGUGCGGAAAGCUGCAGCUGCCGCUCGACGCUGCGGCGAUCCAGCAACGGCAUGCGCAUGACGGGCUGGCCUCGCAGAACCAGCUCGCUGCCAUGGUGCUCAUGGCGGACCCCUCCUCAGGUCCGAUGACGGACGGCGCCAUCCUGCAGAGCUUAAGUGGGUUUAUGGAGAGUCUCCUGACAGUCGCACUGAAGGAGAUCGAUGGCGCGACCACUCCAUUUUAUCUGCGACAGGCGUACAACGUGUCGGCGUACGUGUCGCUGCCGUUCGAGACGCCGAGCAAGGCCGGGGGCAACGCCAGCGUCAGCCUGUCCGCGUCUGCCGUCAUCUCCUCUAUGACACCAGAGCACAAGCGCUUCCUGGCCCUGGUCUUCAUCGUUGCGGCGCUUAUGGCCGUGAAGGUGUAUCGCUUUCCGAAGCUGCUGCAGAGCGCCUUCACCAAGGCGCGUGAGCUGGCCGCCGCCUCCGGCAGCGCGAGCCUUAGCACGAUCCUCACCAACACGCAGGGUGCCCUUGGCACGUACUCGCCGCACUCGAAGGAGGUCGACUGCUCCUCCGUCGGCUGUACGCUACCGGCGCUGUCGAGCGAGGGCCGACAGAUCGUCUCUGUUCUCACCGGCGACCCCGUGUGCGGCGCCGUGCACGUGCUGGAGGACAGCUCCUCAUUUAUUUCGAAAUCCGAGGCGCUCGCGUGGAUGCUGUGCUCGCACUUUUCCCCGCUCGGGAGCGGAGCACGGCUGACAGCCGUAUAGAUAUACACGUACGCAGAGACAAGAUGUUGUCGUGUUGCCUCAUCGAGUGGCGUCUCUGUGGGCACCCGCUUGCUUGUCCUGCGCGCGCGCGCGCGUGUGUGUGUGUGUGAUGGGAAAGCGAGGGGAGUCCAUAUGGUAGAGACACGGACAGAGCGAGCGAGGAAGAAGUGGCAGAGGGGGAUGCGCACACGCACGUGCGCGCCAUCACCAUCCUUUCUCCUCUCUUGUCGUGAGCGACAAGAGAGGCACAUGUGUCUGGUCUGACUUGCGUGUUGAGCAGGUCUUGUGCACUGCCCUCCAGCAUGGUGGUUACAGACGCUCUCCUGUUGUCUUCCCGCCGAGGCAAUGUGAAUGCAUGCCUGCGUCUAAUAUAUAUACACGGGUGUACGGGUCGUGUUGCACGCGCGCGCUGCGUGAGCCCUCCUGUGUUCCCUCACGCAUCUUUUUGUUUCGGUUGCCUUUUUUUUUAGUGCCGCAUGGAUGCCGGUCUAUCUCCUUAACCUCCACUACGACACACACACACACCUCACUCUACACCCUCGCCGCCCCUUCCUAUCGCUUCAUCGCCCCCCUCCUUUCCACGAGUUCAGCGAUGAUGCUCUAGCCCGGGGCAGCGUCGCCGCGCCACUUCCAAGCGCCUCCCAAAGGGACACCACCCAAGUGCCACACCGCGCAAGAGGAACGAAGAGCAGAAAAAGGAACGACGCGGGCGCAGAGCCGCUCAUAUUUGUGCUUCGUGUUUGAGGCUGCGGCGGUUUGGGGGAGGAGAAGGAGGAGGAAGGGUGUCAACGGCUCUGGACAGACGGAGCUGGAAGCAGUUCGCUGCGUGCGAACGUUGGACCGAAGGAGGGGUGGGGGGUGGGGGUGGGCGGGCUUGCGCCAAUUUCGUCUCUUUAUUCUUGCGUACAUUAUGCGUAUGUGUGCGUGUGUAUCUGUGCCUAUCAUCUCCUUGGUUGUGACUCGUACCAGUACGAACGUUGUUCGGCGUAUCUGCAUCUAUCCCUUCCAUCCGUUCCGCUGAUACCGCCGUUACCUCGACCCUCCUGUGCGUUGUGCCUGCGUCUGCCACGCGUUGUUCUGUGUGCAUUUGUACGUGUGUGUGUGUGUGUGUGUUUAGGUCCUUCUUGAUGUAGCUGUACAAGCAACUAGGGUAUAUAUAUAUAUAUAUAUAUCUAGAGAGUGAGAUGGGUGCAUGCGCAUACGUGUAUCGAUAGCGAUAUCCAUAUCCAUAUACAUAUAGAUCUAUAUAUAGAUUUAUAUGGAUAUGGACACACAUGUGCGCAUGCGGGGUAUGGGUGUAUUGGUUCAUUCUCCCUGUGAUCGCCUUUUUGUACCUUUCUGUUUCUUUUUUUUUAUGGUGUGUUGCCCCGGUGUGUCUGUGUGACUGUGUGUGCCGAUGAGAAUGUCUCUGACCAUAGACUUGAUGACGUGGGUGAUGGGGUGGAUGCGGUGUGGUCUCGCUCGGCCACCCGUUGUGUGUUCUGUUCAUCCACCCACCCACCACCUUCAACGCCGACCUAUUCUCGCUCUCCCCGCGCCUUUCGAAGCCUCCUCGCAUCCAUCCCACUCCACCACGCCCCUCUGACCUCUGCGCCGCACCGAAAAGAGUGUCAGGGACGGGGCCGACGAGCACACGUGACUUGAGUCGUAUCAAGCCACCACAGCUGACCAUUCUCUCUCGAUAUAUAUAUAUAUACAUACAAGGAGCGAAAGCGAGCACCAAUGACAGACGAUGCGUACGACGGCAACGACGGGAAGAGAGUGGGGACAGCAGCGCAGCAGCGAAACAACACGGAAUGAAAAGGCGCUCGAGCCGAUUGGUGUUGUCUUACGGCGCACGAGACAUGCCAUGUCAGUGUGGCUUGUGCGCACGCGCACUAGGGUCGAGUGUGCACCCCUUCGAAGCGACGCACGGUACAGAUCAACGCAUACACAUACGGAUGACAAGAGCCCUUGCUUGUCUUUCAUGUCUUUCAUGUCUUUCUCCACCGUGAGCACACAGAAGGCUGGAUGCGCACGCUCCCCGAUUCGCUCAGCACAGGGUGAUCCUGUUCGGGGUGGAGGGUGAGAGAGUGAAAAAUCCGC
rnacentral:misc_RNA from 1 species